GCCUACAGCCCUACCACCCUGAACACCCCUGAUCUCGGAAGCUAAGCAGGGUCGGGCCUGGUUAGUACUUGGAUGGGAGACCGCCUGGGAAUACCAGGUGUUGUAGGCU